UCCACUAAGGUAGGUCAUUUGGACAGGAGGUACCUCCCACAGUAUUCAUCAAGGUAGGUCAUUAGGACCAGAUGUUCCACUCUCCCUCCAAUAUUCGUCAAGGUAGGUCAUUAGGACCAGAUGUUCCACUCUCCCUCAAGUAUCCACCAAGGUAGGUCAUUAGGACCAGAUGUUCCACUCUCCCUCCAGUAUUCGUCAAGGUAGGUCAUUAGGACCAGAUGUUCCACUCUCCCUCCAGUGUUCAUCAAGGUAGGUCAUUAGGACCAGAUGUUCCACCCUCCCUCCAGUAUCCAUCAAGGUAGGUCAUUAGGACCAGAUGUUCCACUCUCCCUCCAGUAUCCAUCAAGGUAGGUCAUUAGGACCAGAUGUUCCACUCUCCCUCCAGUAUUCGUCAAGGUAGGUCAUUAGGACCAGAUGUUCCACUCUCCCUCAAGUAUUCGUCAAGGUAGGUCAUUAGGACCAGAUGUUCCACUCUCCCUCCAGUAUCCAUCAUGGUAGGUAAUUAGGACCAGAUGUUCCACUCUCCCUCCAAUGUUCGUCAAGGUAGGUCAUUAGGACCAGAUGUUCCACUCUCCCUCCAGUAUUCGUCAAGGUAGGUCAUUAGGACCAGAUGUUCCACUCUCCCUCCAGUAUUCGUCAAGGUAGGUCAUUAGGACCAGAUGUUCCACUCUCCCUCCAGUAUUCGUCAAGGUAGGUCAUUAGGACCAGAUGUUCCACUCUCCCUCCAGUAUCCAUCAAGGUAGGUCAUUAGGACCAGAUGUUCCACUCUCCCUCCAGUAUCCAUCAAGGUAGGUCAUUUGGACCAGAUGUUCCACUCUCCCUCCAGUAUUCGUCAAGGUAGGUCAUUAGGACCAGAUGUUCCACUCUCCCUCCAGUUUUCGUCAAGGUAGGUCAUUAGGACCAGAUGUUCCACUCUCCCUCCAGUAUCCAUCAAGGUAGGUCAUUAGGACCAGAUGUUCCACUCUCCCUCCAGUAUUCGUCAAGGUAGGUCAUUAGGACCAGAUGUUCCACUCUCCCUCCAGUAUUCGUCAAGGUAGGUCAUUGGGACCAGAUGUUCCACUCUCCCUCCAGUAUCCAUCAAGGUAGGUCAUUAGGACCAGAUGUUCCACUCUCCCUCCAGUAUUCGUCAAGGUAGGUCAUUAGGACCAGAUGUUCCACUCUCCCUCCAGUAUUCGUCAAGGUAGGUCAUUGGGAGAGUAGGUAGCCCACACAGCAUCCGUCAAGGUAGGUCAUUGGGAGAGUAGGUAGCCCACACAGCAUCCGUCAAGGUAGAUCAUUGGGAGAGUAGGUAGCCCACACAGCAUCCGUCAAGGUAGGUCAUUGGGAGAGUAGGUAGCCCACACAGCAUCCGUCAAGGUAGAUCAUUGGGAGAGUAGGUAGCCCACACAGCAUCCGUCAAGGUAGGUCAUUGGGAGAGUAGGUAGCCCACACAGCAUCCGUCAAGGUAGGUCAUUGGGAGAGUAGGUAGCCCACACAGCAUCCGUCAAGGUAGAUCGUUUCGACAGGAGGUCCCCACCCUUCCCCCAGCAUUCGUCAGGGUAGGUCAUUGGGACAAGAGGUACCCCCUACAGCAUCCUUCAAUGUAGGUCACGUAAAGAGGAGGUUCCCCAUACGACAUCAAGGUAUGUCAUUUGAGACAGGAACCGAUUUUAUCAGUAUAUGAAAUUCCACUAAAUGUGACGAUUCCACAUCUAACAGAAUGAACUAAAAUGGACAUGAAAUAUUUGUAAAAAUUACUUUCGAAGCUUGUGUCCUUUAUGGCAAGGUGAGCUCCAAGUCCAGUCAUGACGGCAGGCAAUAAUCCUUGGAUUUCACGACAGGAAUUAUAUAGGAGACAAUUAUGUGAAUGAAUCUUCAUGGGUUAUAUAAAGUAAGCGAAGGGGUAGCUGCAGAGGAUCUGCAAAUACACCUCCAGAUUUCCACACAGGGGUAGCACCAUAUUACAUACACCCUCACCUCGUCUCUCCGUGUUGUGUGACUCU
rnacentral:lncRNA from 1 species